rnacentral:lncRNA from 1 species
CUGGAAUUGAGAAUGGCUCUAAUCUUCUUUUGCCUCACUCUGUACAUGGGGCCGGAAAACAAAGGCAAGAUUAUUCUAAAUGCCUUGGAGAAAUGGUUUACAUUCAAGGAUUUGAAUCUGCUGUGUUUAAAGACAAGACAAAGAACUGGCACAGCCAGACUCUGAACGAUGAACUGACAGAGUAUCCAGGACCAUGCUGGUUGAAAGAGCAAGGGACAGAAGUGGG